rnacentral:rRNA from 1 species
AGCAGCCGCGGUAAUUCCAGCUCCAAUAGCGUAUAUUAAAGUUGUUGCAGUUAAAAAGCUCGUAGUUGAAUUUCGGGAUCGACGGGUCGGUCGCGCCUCUGGUGUGUACUGGCCCUGUCGGUUUCUCCCUUCUGACGAACCACGAUGUCAUUAAUUUGGUGUCGUGGGAAAUCAGGACUGUUACUUUGAAAAAAUUAGAGUGUUUAAAGCAGGCAUUCGCUUGAAUACAUUAGCAUGGAAUAAUGAAAUAGGACGUUUGAUCUUAUUUUGUUGGUUUCUAAGAUCGACGUAAUGAUUAAUAGGGAUAGUUGGGGGCAUUAGUAUUCAAUUGUCAGAGGUGAAAUUCUUGGAUUUAUUGAAGACUAACUACUGCGAAAGCAUUUGCCAAGGAUGUUUUC